GAUGAACGCUAGCGGCAGGCCUAAUACAUGCAAGUCGAACGGUCCACUUCGGUGGAUAGUGGCGCACGGGUGCGUAACACGUAUGCAACCUACCUUACAUUGGGGGAUAGCCUUUCGAAAGGGAGAUUAAUACCGCAUAAGACAGUAACAUGGCAUCAUGUAGCUGUUAAAGAUUUAUCGAUGUAAGCUGGGCAUGCGUCCAAUUAGUUAGUUGGUGAGGUAAUUGCUCACCAAGACGAUGAUUGGUAGGGGAACUGAGAGGUCAAUCCCCCACACUGGCACUGAGAUACGGGCCAGACUCCUACGGGAGGCAGCAGUAGGGAAUAUUGGGCAAUGGACGCAAGUCUGACCCAGCCAUGCCGCGUGCAGGAAGAAGGCGUUCUGCGUUGUAAACUGCUUUUAUAUAGGAAGAAACGACCCUUGCGAGGGGCAUUGACGGUAUUAUAUGAAUAAGCACCGGCUAACUCCGUGCCAGCCGCCGCCGUAAAAC
rnacentral:rRNA from 1 species